AGAUUGAACGCUGGCGGCAGGCCUAACACAUGCAAGUCGAGCGGCAGCACGGGUACUUGUACCUGGUGGCGAGCGGCGGACGGGUGAGUAAUGCCUAGGAAUCUGCCUGGUAGUGGGGGAUAACGCUCGGAAACGGACGCUAAUACCGCAUACGUCCUACGGGAGAAAGCAGGGGACCUUCGGGCCUUGCGCUAUCAGAUGAGCCUAGGUCGGAUUAGCUAGGUUGGUGAGGUAAUGGCUCACCAAGGCGACGUAUCCUUAGCUGGCCUGAGGAGGAUGAUCAGCCACACGUGGGAACUGGAGACCGACGGCCCAGUACCUCCGUACGGGAGGCAGCGAAGGUAGGGUAAUAGUUCGGAAUAAGUGGGUGACGA
rnacentral:rRNA from 1 species